rnacentral:lncRNA from 1 species
AUCAACAUAUGCGGUGCAAAUGGGUACUAAUCCUAUUUACCAUAUUAACAGAUUACGCGCAGUUCCAUUCAAAACUUUUAGGAAGUUCUGCAAUUUAUAUACCGGCUUUAUCCCAGGUGAUAUUUGAUUUUCUCUAAGAUAUCUCUAUCUUUAAAUGUCAUAGACUUUAGAAAAAUCAAGCAAGCCCUGGAACACGAAAGCAGAGACAGCAUACAUAUUGUAUAUGCAAUGGUCAGUUUUUAACAUGGACCCAAAAUUGAUUGUGUGUUAAAGCAAGCAAUGAAAAUGAAUGUUAGCACAAGGAAAAGAAAAGAAAAACAACGAAUAUUAUUUUGCCUAAAUAAAACUGAUGAGUACAUCCAGUUUUAAUUAUUUUAACAGUUUUAAUUAUUUUAGUUGGAUUUAGGUUAUUUUAAUUUUAUGGACUUGUGUAUUGGGCUUGGUCCUAGGUUUGCAGUAUUUUCCUGUAUUUAAACCUAUUUUACAUUGUUAUUUUCAGUUGAUGAAUUUGAUGAAAUAAUAAAGUUGGCUUGCAGCCGUUUUCCUCUCUUCCCCUGUCUCUUCUUCUUCUUCUCCCCUCUUCCCCCUUCUCUUCUUGUUAUUAUUCACCCUACAUCAAAUUGGUAUCAGAGCUAAACUUGAGAAUUUUCACUGCAUACAGAAAAUCUUUCCGGCUGCCUUACUGCCAAAGUCCGAAAUCGUUAUCACCAAAAAAAAAAAAAACUGCCACAAACCAAAUAACCUGCCGUGACUACCAUCACACCGCCUUCUGCAACUGCAA